rnacentral:rRNA from 1 species
CCUACGGGCGGCAGCAGUGGGGAAUAUUGCACAAUGGGGGAAACCCUGAUGCAGCGACGCCGCGUGAGUGAAGAAGUAAUUCGUUAUGUAAAGCUCUAUCAGCAGGGAAGAAAAUGACGGUACCUGAGUAAGAAGCCCCGGCUAACUACGUGCCAGCAGCCGCGGUCAUACGUAGGGGGCAAGAGUUUUCCGGAUUUACUGGGUGUAAAGGGAGCGUAGACGGCAGUGCGAGUCUGGAGUGAAAGGCGGGGGCUCAACCCCCGGACUGCUCUGGAAACUGUACGGCUGGAGUGCAGGAGAGGUAAGUGGAAUUCCUAGUGUAGCGGUGAAAUGCGUAGAUAUUAGGAGGAACACCAGUGGCGAAGGCGGCUUACUGGACUGUAACUGACGUUGAGGCUCGAAAGCGUGGGGAGCAAACAGGAUUAGAUACCCUUGUAGUC